UUACCAGUUGCUAAAGCUUACCAUAGACAGUAAACACAUAGCUUAUUUAUAUAUACUAUUUAGCAGUGUUUUUAAAUAACUUGAACACUGAAAUGUUGUAACUGGUGGAUACGCUUAAUAUUUUAAUGGACGCAGGAUUGUCAACUUUUGUCAGCUUGCUGGAGUGAAACUUUCAAUUCGAGAAGUCUGCAUACGCAUGUACAUGUAUGUAACAGUUGUAUUAGCUUAAUAGUUUGCAGGGUUUGCAAACUACCUCAACGGUUUAGAUAUAGCUAAUUUUAUGUUUAUAAUGGAAUAAUAUCGAUUUACCGUAAUAUUCUCGCGCGAGCGUCACGCCUAGUCCGCGAGAGCUGGCAGCGCUGUGCACGUGAUGGUGCGGAGUGCAGGUUGUUAUACACUCACGUAGUGUGUGUGCAUGGUCAUUGACGCCUGCUGCUGGGUGCCUGCAAGCAUUCGAACUCCUUCAAAAGAAGCAAUCAUGCGGUACUGCAGCACGAGAGGUGGAACAUGUGGGUGGGACUUUCGGCAAGUUUUGUUUUCUGGCUAUGCUCCCGAUGGGGGGAUGUUUAUGCCAGAGAGCCUGCCUGGCCUCUCUGCUGAUACCCUUAGGUCCUGGGCCUCUCUAUCCUACUCUGAGCUGGUCCUGGAGGUGUGUGCCUUAUUCAUCCCCGAUGAUCUCAUACCGCGUCGUGACCUAGCAGACCUGCUGUCACAGGCACUGUCUCAGUUUUCAGUGCCAGAUGCUGUGCGUUCGGUGCAGCUUCGGGAUGGCCUUUGUGUGCUGGAGCUGUUCCACGGCCAGACGAUGGCUUUCAAGGACCUGGCCAUGACCUGCGUCGCCCGCCUGCUCGAUUACUUUCUGCGCAGAGAACACCGUCGUGCCACUAUUGUCGUGGGAACCUCAGGGGACACUGGGGGUUCUGCCAUUUGCAGUGCUCGUGGCCUGGAUGGGGUGGACGUGCUGGUUGUGUUUCCCCUGGGACGUAUCACCACAGUACAGGAGAGACACAUGACCACCAGCCUGGAGGACAAUGUGCAUGUCUUUGCAGCGGACGGCAGCUCUGAUGACAUUGAUGUCCCACUGAGGCGUCUCUUUGCUGAUCAGGACCUGGUCCAAAAUCACGGCCUCAUGAGCCUGAACUCUGUGAACUGGGCCCGGAUCCUGGUGCAGCUGGCCCAUUUUCUUUAUGCGUAUUUGCAUUUGAGUGACCUGCAGAAGGUCAAAGGUCAGGAGCUGCCGCCCAUCGAGGUUGUGGUGCCCACAGGUGGAGCUGGAAACAUUGCAGCUGGCUGCAUUGUGAACCUGAUGGGUGUGCCGCUUCGCCUUGUCGCCAUGGUGAAUGAUAAUGACAUCGUGCAUCGGGUGGUGCAGAGUGGUGACUAUUCCAUGGCAAGUAGUGUGAAGCGGACCCUGGCUCCUGCCAUAGACAUUCAGGACCCGUACAACAUGGAGCGCGUGCUUUGGUUGCUGUCUGACAAGAACGGCGCUUUGGUGAAGGACCUGAUGGAGGAGUUUCAGAGCUCUCACAGAUUGCAGCUGCCUGAGAAACUGCAUAAAAAGGCUCGGUCACUUUUACUCGUCAUAUGCACACAUGAGCCAAAACAUAAUGACCACGAUAUGAGGCGACUAAUGACGAUCCUGCUAAAUAUGGGAUAUAGGUGUAUUCGAAAGCAACCUAACGUUCAAUACUCAUAGUCGGCAUGUUGAAUACAGAAGGAAUGGGCAAGGGUAAAGAUCUGAGUGACUUUGAGAAGGUCCAAAUCUUUACAGCUAGAUGACUGCAUCAGAGCAUCUCUGAAAUAGCAUGGUUUGUGCGGUGCUCAGUCAGCUGUGGUGAGGACCAACUGAGGGUGGCCCAAGGAGGGAGAAAUUACAAACUGUUGACAGAGUAUUGGGUGCCUAUGUCUUGUUGAUGCAUAAUGCAAGCUUCUGCCAAGUAAAAACUAACAAGGAAAAGAAUUGUAGAAAAUUGCAGGGAAUACAUAUAGUUUUAGCAGCAGCCACCAAAGACACUUCAGUAUGCAACACGUUAAGGCAAAAACCAUUUGAUGGAUCUUCUUAAAUUUUUCACAGUCAUUGUAUGGGCGAGGAACUAAAGCUGAUUAAAUUUUGAGACAGAUCGCCACACAGCUGAAGUAGAGUGGCAUGGUGCAGCAAAAAAGGACAAUUUUCACACUUGAUCCUAUUGAUCAAGAUGAUAACUCAAAAACCAUUUAAUGGAUAUUUUUUCAAACUUUGCAGAGGCAUUGUAUAGAUGCCAAACUGGAACAGCUUAAAAUAUUGAGACAGAUCACCCCAAAACGGAAGCGACGCCAUUUAGUGGCAGCAAACGGAAGGGUGAAAGCAGAUGAGGUUUAACAUCAAGAAUGGAACCGCAGGACAGGGAACAGCUGAGAGUGGAAAUGGAGCCAGCAGCAGCCCAUUGUAAACACAGCCAUUUAUCAACUAAACUUGUUCCAUGUAUCAUUUUCAAACUUCCCAGAAACAUUAUACAGCUGUCUGCAUUCAUAUCGUCAGGCUCAGUCACAGAUGAGGAGAUCAUUGAUACUAUGCAGAGGUGCUGGCAAGAAAACCACUAUCUCCUGUGUCCCC